rnacentral:lncRNA from 1 species
GCUUGUGGCCGGGAUCUUGCACUUGGGAAACAUCAGCUUCUGUGAAGACGGGAAUUAUGCCCGGGUGGAGAGUGUGGACCGUGAGUGUGGGUUCCAGGGACGGUGGUGGCGGAGCGUGAGCUGCUUCCUCCUAGUUCGACCCCAGGAGGGUCAGAGCCCACCAGGACAGUAUCUGAGUCACUGGGCAAAAUGGGGAGUGCCCGAAGCAUCACAGGAGGCCCAAGAGCUUAACUGGCUGCCCCCUCCGCCGGGCAGUGCUGGCCUUUCCCUUCCUUCCCGCCUACCUGCUGGGCAUCGACAGCGGGCGGCUGCAGGAGAAGCUGACCAGCCGCAAGAUGGACAGCCGCUGGGGCGGGCGCAGCGAGUCCAUCGAUGUGACCCUCAACGUGGAAACAGGCAGCCUACACGCGCGACGCCCUGGCCAAGGGGCUCUACGCCCGGCUCUUCGACUUUCUCGUGGAGUCCAUCAACCGUGCUAUGCAGAAGCCCCAAGAGGAAUACAGUAUUGGUGUGCUUGACAUCUAUGGCUUCGAGAUCUUCCAGGUUCGGCCUCUGCUCCCCACCCCCCUACCCCCCCCCCCCCGCGCCUUGGCUGGCCCAGUGGUCCCAGGAGCCUCCAGCA